UACGUAGGUGACCAGCGUUGUCCGGAUUUACUGGGCGUAAAGAGCGCGCAGGCGGUCGUUCAAGUCGAGUGUGAAAGCCCCCGGCUCAACUGGGGAGGGUCAUUCGAUACUGAUCGACUCGAAGGCAGGAGAGGGAAGCGGAAUUCCCGGUGUAGCGGUGAAAUGCGCAGAUAUCAGGAGGAACACCGAUGGCGAAGGCAGGUCUCUGGGCAUUAACUGACGCUGAGGAGCGAAAGCAUGGGGAGCGAACAGG
rnacentral:rRNA from 1 species